UACGUAGGGUGCGAGCGUUAUCCGGAUUUAUUGGGUUUAAAGGGUGCGUAGGCGGACUUAUAAGUCAGUGGUGAAAUCUCGUUGCUUAACAACGAACGUGCCAUUGAUACUGUAGGUCUUGAGUACAGAUGCCGUUGGCGGAAUGUGUCAUGUAGCGGUGAAAUGCAUAGAUAUGACACAGAACACCGAUUGCGAAGGCAGCUGACGAAACUGUAACUGACGCUGAGGCACGAAAGCGUGGGGAUCAAACAGG
rnacentral:rRNA from 1 species